CGACAAUCCAAUCAAAUGGCGUCAACACGCCGAUUCUGAUUACUUUUUUCCUCGCAGGAUGAGAAGAUUUGUUCAAUUGAAGCCAAGCAGGCUGAAAGAUUGCCGUUCCUGUUUUACAGCUAGGAGCAAUUCUGUGAUCAAUUACGUAUCUUCAGCAGGAAAAUACAUGGAUG